CCUACGGGAGGCAGCAGUGAGGAAUAUUGGUCAAUGGGAGGAAUCCUGAACCAGCCAUGCCGCGUGCAGGACGACGGCUCUACGAGUUGUAAACUGCUUUUGUACGGGGGUAAAAUGCUCUACGAGUAGGGUUUUGAGAGUACGGUACGAAUAAGGAUCGGCUAACUCCGUGCCAGCAGCCGCGGUAAUACGGAGGAUCCGAGCGUUAUCCGGAUUCAUUGGGUUUAAAGGGUGCGCAGGCGGGCCGUUAAGCCGGCGGUGAAAGCGCGGGGCUCAACCCCGCCGGGCCGUUGAAACUGGGGGUCUUGAGUUGGGCGGAGGCAUGCGGAAUGCGCGGUGUAGCGGUGAAAUGCAUAGAUAUCGCGCAGAACCCCGAUUGCGAAGGCAGCGUGCCGGGUCGCCACUGACGCUGAGGCACGAAAGCGCGGGGAUCGAACAGGAUUAGAUACCCGUGUAGUC
rnacentral:rRNA from 1 species